AACGCUAUCGCGGGAGAGAUCGACCAGUCGACGCCGAAGGAGCAACCGCCCCGGAAACUCUCAGGCAAAAGGACCGCGUUAGCGAA
rnacentral:ncRNA from 1 species